rnacentral:sRNA from 1 species
GCAAUUGAAAGGGCAAGUGACGCAGUAUCCUAGUCGGAACCGCUCUUCCGAGGGCGGGCCUAAAAACCCGCCGAAGGGCACAUCGAUGAAGCUCCUGGUGCUGGCUGCCGGCGCCCAGCCGGGGGCUGGUACUGGGAGAUAAGGCGGCGGGGCGAUCCGCAAAGGCAUGCGGGCGUGGACCCUGUCGCCGCGGAGGCCCAAGUGCGUGGGGCAGGGUAGGGCACCCAUAAGCCCUAUGGCUUGGGGUAAACCUGUACGUGGUGAGGAGCUGCGUACAGCGUAGCCUGCCUUGAGUGGGUGGGCGUGGAGGCACUUGAGGCGGGCCCGUCAGGGUGAGGGCCCCACCCGGGGUUUAAUCCCGCCGCUGAAACCCCACCUGCAAAAGAGGCUAAGGAAGAGCCUGGUUCCGCCGGGGAAAACCCCUAGGCUGUCCGGUUGUACCGGGGCACCGCGGGGAUUAAAGUGCCGGCUUAGUGGCGAUCCAGCUCCGGUGGCGGUGACGCGCCGGGGACGCCCUUAAAGGGGAACCGCCGGUACGGCGACGGCCGGUGGGCGUCCGGGAAAUCCUGCUGGACCUAAGCGGCAGCGUUUACUCGCGGGGCUGUCACUUGCCCGCGGUCUUAU